rnacentral:rRNA from 1 species
GUCUACAGCCCUGCCACCCGGAACGUGCCCAAUUUCAUCUGAUCUCAGAAGCUAAGCAGGGUCAGGCCUGGUUAGUACUUGGAUAGGACCACCUAGGAAUACCAGGUGCUAUAGGCA